GUUCUUCUUCAUGGAUUCUACUGGAAAAAGGUCACUCACUCACUCACUUCUCUCUAAUUUUAAUUUCGUUCACGUUAAUAUAUUAAUAUCGGAACAUACCUUCAGCCUUCAGGGAUAUUCAAAUAUAACUUUGUAAGUUUGAUAUGGGUGUUUCCCGCAAUUGGGUCACGUUUUUGCGUGGAUUGUUUCUCCUCCUCCUUAUCUGUCGUAGCUCUGGAGCUGAAGUUAUUACAGUUGAUGUUCGAGCUGCUAAGAAUCUGCUUGAAUCUGGCUACGGCUAUCUUGAUGUGAGGUACGCAGUUUCAAUUCAACUACUGGCUUUCUAUUUCCUAAUUCUGAUACUUGUAAUUUCUUUUAUUUUUUAAUCUUUAUUUCGUAACUUUGGGCUUGUCUUAAAAUACUAGGACGGCAGAAGAAUUCGAGGAAGGUCAUGUGGAUGCAGCAAAAAUCUUCAACAUUCCUUACAUGUUCAACACUCCAGAAGGUAUAUAACGAUUAUUUUAUUUUAUUUUUUUUAAAAUUCAACUUCUAAUAACCAUGAGCCAUUUCCUUUUUAAUACUUCAGUUAUGAAAAAAUAAUUUGGUUUUUCCUUAUAGGUAGAGUAAAAAAUCCAGAUUUCUUGAAGAAGGUUAGAUCUCUUUGCAAGGAGGAGGAUCGUCUUGUAGUGGUAAUUAAUUGAUCAUGUUCAUAAAUCAGUUGUCGAAAAAUUGGUGUUUGACAGCAAUUAUUCUGAAAAUUGCAGUAGGUGUUAUUUCAAUAGAGCUUCUUUGCAUCUGCAGCCACCUGGGAGGAGCUGUAGGUAUCUUGAUAUCUUCCUCGAGUUCCUCAUGGAAGUUUGGCAUAAUAGUGCUAUCGGGGUCCGCAUAGAUGUUUCGCCUGCCUAAUCCAGGGGUUGUGCGUAAAUAGUGUUUGAUUAUUUAAAACCAUGUGUUGUGCGUAAAUAAUUUGUUGUUAAUUGGUGUAUUCACCAAGAUUUGGCUGUAUCUGCGUACUGUACAUCAGAAUUCUCACUAAUGGAAGCUUAAGUGCUUAACCAAUUUGUACCUGGACUGGGGCUUGAUAUGAUGAAUUAUGUAUGACCCCCAUCCUCUAUAUUUGCUGAAGUGGGUCUCAGCUAUAACCAACCUUAACCCACCGGGCUGACUCUGUGGGUCUACUCUAAAGUUGGCGACGCAGCUACUAGCCUCAGUUUUAAUGCGAAUUUGCCUAUUUGCCAUGGUUGGUUCUUCGCUGGGUAGGUAGGCCAGUUGAUUGGAAUUUUCCUCACGUGACAAAAGCAUGGAACGUUGGUUGAAACUUACCACCAAAACGUUCAAAAACUUUGUUUUCAUAUCACGUCAUUGGAGACCCCUUCGGCUUAACUGUACCUAAAUCCAUCCAUGUCCUUAUCUAUUCAUCAAUAAUGUUCAUACUGGCCGUGACUUGCAAUCUUUUUUAAUGUGAUUAACAAUUUUUUAAAUACUUUAAUAGUAAUCCCACAGAAAUGUAAAGUGAAUAAAAGAAGCAUCCGAACAGCUGCAGCAGCAAUCAGCGAUCGAGUUAGCGCCACAGCACACUUUUUUUCUAACUUCAUCUGGUUUUCCCGGCAAAACAAGCAACUGCUUUACUGCUGCGCCACCAGAUCCCAACACUAAAUAAGGCUCUAUAUAUACAAGCCCAUAAGUUCUUCUUCAUGGAUUCUACUGGAAAAAGGUCACUCACUCACUCACUUCUCUCUAAUUUUAAUUUCGUUCACGUUAAUAUAUUAAUAUCGGAACAUACCUUCAGCCUUCAGGGAUAUUCAAAUAUAACUUUGUAAGUUUGAUAUGGGUGUUUCCCGCAAUUGGGUCACGUUUUUGCGUGGAUUGUUUCUCCUCCUCCUUAUCUGUCGUAGCUCUGGAGCUGAAGUUAUUACAGUUGAUGUUCGAGCUGCUAAGAAUCUGCUUGAAUCUGGCUACGGCUAUCUUGAUGUGAGG
rnacentral:lncRNA from 1 species